UUUUUAUCACUCUCUCUUUCUUUCCCUCUCUCUCUCUGUGUUGGAGAUGAGGAGGGAGGAAGGGGGGGUCUUCCUUAUGGAAGGAAACAUAUCAAAAAAUAGUACCAUAUAAUUGAGAGUUGUUGGACCUAUUUCUUGGACAAGAAAAGUAAUAAAUUUUUAUCAAAAGCAAAAAAAAAAA
rnacentral:ribozyme from 1 species